UAGCCUCUCAAGAGAUAACUAGGUCAG
rnacentral:misc_RNA from 1 species